rnacentral:rRNA from 1 species
CAAGUCGAACGAAUCCCAUCUGGGUAACUGGGUGGGGGAAGUGGCGAAAGGGGCAGUAAGGCAUGGGUAACCUGCCUCGGGGAUGGGGAUAGCCCUCCUAACGGAGGGGUAAUACCCAGCGAUCUGGCGGAGGGGCAUCUCUCUGUCAGGAAAGGAAUUUUGCCUCGAGAGGGGCCCAUGUGGUAUUAGCUUGUUGGUGAGGUAACGGCUCACCAAGGCCAAGAUGCCUAGCAGGUGUGAGAGCACGACCUGCGCCACUGGCACUGCGACACUGGCCAGACUCCUACGGGAGGCUGCAGUCGAGGAUCUUCGGCAAUGGGCGCAAGCCUGACCGAGCGACGCCGCGUGUGCGAUGAAGGCCUUCGGGUUGUAAAGCACUGUCGAGGGGGAGAAAGCUCCGCAAGGGGUUGAUCUAUCCCUGGAGGAAGCACGGGCUAAGUUCGUGCCAGCAGCCGCGGUAAGACGAACCGUGCGAACGUUGUUCGGAAUCACUGGGCUUAAAGGGCGCGUAGGCGGGCGGUCAAGUCUGUGGUGAAAUCCUUCGGCUCAACCGGAGAAUAGCUGGAGAUACUGGCCGUCUCGAGGGGGGUAGGGGCAUGUGGAACUUCCGGUGGAGCGGUGAAAUGCGUAGAUAUCGGAAGGAACGCCGGUGGCGAAAGCGACGUGCUGGACCCUUUCUGACGCUGAGGCGCGAAAGCCAGGGGAGCAAACGGGAUUAGAUACCCCGGUAGUCCUGGCCCUAAACGAUGGGUACUAGAUUGUGGACUGACAUGGGUUCACAGUCGAAGCAAAAGUGUUAAGUACCCCGCCUGGGGAGUAUGGUCGCAAGGCUGAAACUCAAAGGAAUUGAC